rnacentral:misc_RNA from 1 species
GAUGAAGAACGCAGCAAAAUGCGAUAAGUAAUGUGAAUUGCAGAAUUCAGUGAAUCAUCGAAUCUUUGAACACACAUUGCGCCCGCCAGUAUUCUGGCGGGCAUGCCUGUUCGAGCGUCAUUUCAACCCUCAAGCACAGCUUGGUGUUGGGACUCGCGUUAAUUCGCGUUCCCCAAAUUGAUUGGCGGUCACGUCGAGCUUCCAUAGCGUAGUAGUAAAACCCUCGUUACUGGUAAUCGUCGCGGCCACGCCGUUAAACCCCAACUUCUGAAUGUUGACCUCGGAUCAGGUAGGAAUACCCGCUGAACUUAAGCAUAUCAAUAAGCGGAGGA